CUCCAAGGCUUUCUCAUUCCCACCACUGCGUUUCUCUGCUUCUGAUUCUGGUCGGUUUGUCUUGGCCCGGGGUCAGUAGUUACAGGCUGCCCACAAGGAUUUGUUGCCUGCAUUUCCUCUCUUUAUUAAAUUGCUACAGUUCUCCAAUGACCAGGACUACUGGACUUAUGGACAAACAGAUGGACUCUACAGCUACAUGAAAUGUUAAAGGUUGGAGAGGUGGUACUCUGAGGCAGAAAGACGUGGCUCAUCUUGAUUCUCUCCACUGCAGUAUCCAUGCAAACACAUCUGAGAACUGAGCUGGAUGAGCACACUAGGAGAUCUGGUAAUAGAUACUAACAAGCAUUAUCAGGGCUGGCUGCAAUGCAGGGACAAGUUAUGGCUAUUUAAAAAUACUUUGAUUCAUAUCUUGAUAUGAUUGAAUAUUCUGAACUGGAGGAACCAGAACUAUGAUGCCAGAAGCUCUUUGAGGCAAGGCUUGCUUACCAAUGGGCACACCAACAUCUUUCACCUUCUGCAUACAUAGUAUUAAAAAGUGAACAAAAGAAAAAGUAGAAUUCAGAAAAAAAAAAGAAUAUAACGAAGCAGAAGGACAGAAAUUCAAAGAAGGAAGAGAAACCUAAGGUCAACAGUCAAAAAGGAUAGGGGGCAAGAAUGAUUAGAUAUCAAAAUUUAAAAUCCCCAGGCUAUGAAGAACCAAAGACUAAGUACUCUUCAAGUGAAAGGAGAUCUCUAUAGAACAUUAUUCUUACAGGUGUUAUCCAGGAAACAGAUAAGGCCAUUCAUCAGAUACAUGACUUCUAUUUUCCUUUAGCUAAGUAGUUAUAAGAAAAACAGAUUCCACUGUUUUCACAAGUGGUAAAUAGAUAACAUCAUUGUAGGAAAAGGGGCUUUGUCAACUUAUGAGUACUGGCCCUUUCUGCAGUAUCAUAACUCAAAAUUUCAAUUUCAGGCUUUGGGUUUCCUCAGAGGAUGACACUGUAGACAUUCAUGGUCAUGGACUUUUGAGUGACAACAGCCCAAACCAAUCAAGUGUCUAUAAACCCUGAACAGAAAGAAUUACUGUGAAUUACCAUUGACUUUGAACUAUAAAUGGUGUGGAUGUCUCACUUCAAGCUCCAGCAUCAUAAUACAACCUUCAUAACUUUCUUUACAAAUUUACAAGGGAAUUGUAUUUCAGUGACUAUUUUGAUAUCAGAUUAAGUUUUCCAAAAUGUUACACAUAAUUCAGGUCUUUUUUUCCUACCAGUAAGAGUUCUGCAGGCCGGCGCCAUGGCUCACUUGGCUAAUCCUCCACCUGCGGCGCCGGCGCCCUGGGUUCUAGUCCUGGUUGCUCCUCUUCCAGUCCAGCUCUCUGUUGUGGCCUGGGAAGGCAGUGGAGGAUGGCCAAAGUGCUUGGGCCCUGCACCUACAUGGGAGACCGGGAGGAAGCACCCAACCCCUGGCUCCGGAUCGGCACAGCACCAGCCAUGGUGACCAUUAGGGGAGUGAACCAACAGAAGGAAGACCUUUCUCUCUGUGUCUCUCUCUCUGUCUACAACUCUCUCUCUCUCUCUCUCUCUCACUAUCUAACUCUGCCUGUCAAAAAAUAAAAAAAAAAGAGUUUUGCUAGUUACAAAAACCCAUAAUUGCAGUGCUAUUUUUAAAAAACUAAACACAGUAAUACUGCCAAUGUUAAUCAAAAUCAAAAUUUCAGAAUGCAGUGACAUUCAUUUGACCAAGCUAAAUGUUAGAUUUAAGUAUGAGCUGUUUAUCCUAUUGACCAUUUUUGCUAGGCUGAGGCUGUGUAAAUCUAGAGUUGACAUAGUUGGGCCGGCACUGUGGCUCACUUGGUUAAUCUUCCGCCUGCGGUACCCG